rnacentral:rRNA from 1 species
AGGCAGCAGUGGGGAAUAUUGGACAAUGGGGGCAACCCUGAUCCAGCAAUACCGCGUGUGUGAAGAAGGCCUGCGGGUUGUAAAGCACUUUUAGUAGGGAAGAUAAUGACGUUACCUACAGAAAAAGCACCGGCUAACUCCCGUGCCAGCAGCCGCGGUAAUACGGAGGGUGCAAGCGUUAAUCGGAAUUACUGGGCGUAAAGCGUGCGUAGGCGGCUCUUUAAGUCAGAUGUGAAAUCCCCCGGGCUCAACCUGGGAACUGCAUCUGAUACUGGGGAGCUAGAAUGUGGGAGAGGGAAGUGGAAUUUCCGGUGUAGCGGUGAAAUGCAUAGAGAUCGGAAGGAACAUCAGUGGCGAAGGCGACUUCCUGGACCAACAUUGACGCUGAGGCACGAAAGCGUGGGUAGCAAACAGGAUUAGAUACCCUGGUAGUCCACGCCGUAAACGAUGUCAACUAGCCGUCGGCUCCAACUAAGGGGUCGGUGGUGCAGCUAACGCAUUAAGUUGACCGCCUGGGGAGUACGCGCGCAAGCGUAAAACUCAAAUGAAUUGACGGGGGC